rnacentral:rRNA from 1 species
UUGAACGCUGGCGGCAUGCCUUACACAUGCAAGUCGAACGGCAGCAGCGGGGCAAUCCCUGGCUGCGAGCUGGCGAACGGGUGAGUUAAUACAUCGGAACGUGCCCAGUAGUAGUGGGGGAUAGCCCGGCGAAAGACCGGGCUUAAUACCGCAUACGACUAUGGAGAUGAAAGCGGGGGAUCGCAAGGACCUCGCGCUAUUGGAGCGGCCGAUGUCGGAUUAGCUAGUUGGUGGCGGGUAAAGGCCUUACAAGGCUACGAUCCGUAGCUGGUUUGAGAGGACGACCAGCCACACUGGGACUGAGACACGGCCCAGACUCCUACGGGAGGCAGCAGUGGGGAAUUUUGGACAAUGGGCGCAAGCCCUGAUCCAGCCAUGCCGCGUGCGUGAAGAAGGCCUUCGGGUUGUAACGCCUUUUGUCAGGACGAACGAAACGCGUCUGGGUUAAUACCUCGGACUAAUGACGGUACCUGAAGAAUAAGCACCGGCUAACUACGUGCCAGCAGCCGCGGUAAUACGUAGGGUGCAAGCGUUAAUCGGAAUUACUGGGCGUAAAGCGUGCGCAGGGGGCCUUUGCAAGACAGAUGUGAAAUCCCCGGGCUUAACCUUGGGAACUUGCAUUGCUCGACUGCAGGGCUGGAGUGCGGCAGAGGGGGAUGGAAUUCCGCGUUGUAGCAGUGAAAUGCGUAGAGAUCGGGAGGAAACACCGGAUGGCGAAGGCGGCGUCUCUGGGCAUUCCUGACGCUGCAGGCGCGAAAGCGUGGGGAGCAAACGGGAUUAGAUACCCCUGGUAGUCCACGCCUGUAAACGAUGACGACUAGUGUUGGGUGGUUAAAGUCCAUUCCGUGCCGCAGCUAACGCCUAAGUCGUCCGCCUGGGGAGUACGGCCGCAAGGUUGAAACUCAAAGGAAUUGACGGGGGCCCGCACAAGCGGUGGAUGAAUGUGGUUCAAUUCGAUGCAGACGCGAAGAACCUUACCUGGGCUUUGACAUGUCGGAAGCCUAGAAAACCAGAACGGGGGACGACCUGUAAGUCAGGAGCCUACACAGGUGGCUGCAUGGCGUCGUCAGCUCGUGCCGUGAGAUGUUGGGUUAAGUCCCGCAACGAGCGCAACCCCUUCACCGAUUAGUUGCCACGGUUCGGCCGGAGCACUCUAGGGAACUGCCGGCGACAGAGCUGGAGGAAGGGGGGGAUGACGUCAAGUCCGUAUGCCCCUUAUGUCAGGGCUACACACAUGCAUACAAUGGUCGCGUACAGAGGGUUGCCGACCCGCAAGGGGGAGCCAAUCCCAGAAAGCCGAUCGUCAGUCCGGAUUGUAGUCUGCAACUCGACUUACAUGAAGUCGGAAUCGCUAGUAAGCGCGAUCAGCAUGUCUGCGCUGAAUACGUUCCCGGGCCUUGUACCACACCGCCCGUCACACCACUGAAGCAGUGGGUUCACCAGAAGUCGGUGAGCCUAACCGCAAGGAGGGCGCCGACCACGGUAUGAGCUUGGCUGACUGGGGUG